rnacentral:rRNA from 1 species
CGGACGGGUGAGUAACGCGUGAGAAUCUGCCCUUAGGAGGGGGAUAACGGUUGGAAACGACCGCUAAGACCCCAUAUGCCGAGAGGUGAAACAGUUUUCUGCCUGAGGAUGAGCUCGCGUCCGAUUAGCUAGUUGGUGAGGUAAGAGCUUACCAAGGCGACGAUCGGUAGCUGGUCUGAGAGGAUGAUCAGCCACACUGGGACUGAGACACGGCCCAGACUCCUACGGGAGGCAGCAGUGGGGAAUUUUCCGCAAUGGGCGAAAGCCUGACGGAGCAAGACCGCGUGAGGGAAGAAGGUCUGUGGAUUGUAAACCUCUUUUGAUUGGGAAGAAGUUCUGACGGUACCAAUCGAAUCAGCCUCGGCUAACUCCGUGCCAGCAGCCGCGGUAAUACGGAGGAGGCAAGCGUUAUCCGGAAUUAUUGGGCGUAAAGCGUCCGUAGGUGGAUGUUCAAGUCUUCUGUCAAAGCGCGGAGCUUAACUCCGUAAAGGCAGAGGAAACUGAGCGUCUAGAGUGCGAUAGGGGCAAGGGGAAUUCCCAGUGUAGCGGUGAAAUGCGUAGAUAUUGGGAAGAACACCGGUGGCGAAAGCGCCUUGCUGGGUCUGCACUGACACUGAGGGACGAAAGCUAGGGGAGCGAAAGGGAUUAGAUACCCCUGUAGUCA